rnacentral:rRNA from 1 species
AAUCAACGCUGGCGGCGUGCCUAACACAUGCAAGUCGAACGCGAAAGGGGCUUCGGCCCUGAGUAGAGUGGCGAACGGGUGAGUAACACGUGGGUGAUCUACCUCUGAGUGGGGGAUAACGUUCCGAAAGGAGCGCUAAUACCGCAUGACGUCCUGGGUUUGAAGACCUGGACACCAAAGUCGGGGACCGCAAGGCCUGACGCUUGGAGAGGAGCCCGCGCCUGAUUAGCUAGUUGGUGAGGUAAUGGCUCACCAAGGCGACGAUCAGUAGCCGGCCUGAGAGGGCGGACGGCCACACUGGGACUGAGACACGGCCCAGACUCCUACGGGAGGCAGCAGUGGGGAAUUGUUCGCAAUGGGCGCAAGCCUGACGACGCAACGCCGCGUGGAGGAUGAAGGUCUUCGGAUUGUAAACUCCUGUUGACCGGGAAGAAUGGAUUCCGACUGAAUACGUCGGAGUAAUGACGGUACCGGUUGAGGAAGCCACGGCUAACUCUGUGC